UACGGAGGGAGCUAGCGUUGUUCGGAAUUACUGGGCGUAAAGCGCACGUAGGCGGAUGUGUCAGUCAGGGGUGAAAUCCUGGAGCUCAACUCCAGAACUGCCUUUGAUACUGGCGAUCUUGAGUUCGGGAGAGGUGAGUGGAACUGCGAGUGUAGAGGUGAAAUUCGUAGAUAUUCGCAAGAACACCAGUGGCGAAGGCAGCUCGCUGGGACGGUACUGACGCUGAGGCGCGAAAGCGUGGGGAGCAAACAGG
rnacentral:rRNA from 1 species